GGAUGUGAGUGUGAACUGCUGCAACAUUUGUCACCCUGCUGAUCUCGAGGGGUGAUGGGGUUGAUUGGGCAGACUAAGGCAGUGUCCCCUACCUCACUGAUGGUCCAUGCUGUCACUGCUGAGUCUGCACACUCGGUAGAGAAGGACCAAAGAUGCAAAGGCAUUGGAUAUUGUAAUACAGCAGUGCAAUUCCCAAGAGUGAGUCCAUCAACAAACAAAUGGGUGAAAAAAAAAAGUGAUACAUGCAUAUGUAU
rnacentral:sRNA from 1 species